CUACACACGACAGUAUGCAUACAUUAAAAGCAAACUUAAGCAGCUGCAAAGAAAUCUACGAACACAACGACACGCGAAAAACGCUGAGUACACGUGCAUUUUGGGCGUACAGACAGUGAUUAGAGUUUUGGUAUUUGAGAGAUUUGAGAAAUAUUUUGUUUUGUUUUUGUUUUGUAAAAAUGAGGCGUCUUAUGAAUGUUGAGCAAGCGCUUCAGUUUUUUUUAAUUGGAACAAAACAGAGCAUUCAGCAUGCCGUCAGAGUCUGAACCAGACAGUGAGGAUUCUGAUGAUGAAGAUGAUCCCUCUGUUGUUUUGGACAAACAACCAGAGCAGGUGGAUCCACUGAUGUGCGCACAGAUCUCCACAGUGAAACUGAUCGCACGCUUCUCUUUGCAUCUUCUCCAGGACUCAGGCGCUACAGAGCUCAGUCUCAGCACUGAGUCCUGGAACACAGAACAGGAUGCAGACACACACUGCUCCAGCAGUGGAUCCAGGCACAUUUUGUUUAGAGCGUUGAGGUCAAUGUUAGCUUCAUUCUCCUUUCUUUCCUCUUUCGUUCCUUUUUGUUCCUUUUGCGUUCUUGAUUCGCAGGCUAUUCAGUGAUGGGAAAAGUGAAAACUCAUUCGUCUACCUUUUCUCGACGAUUUGUGACUUUGUGGCUUUAUUCCCUUCGUUCAGCUGUCGUCGUAUGCCGUGUGACCGGGCCAUAAGCCCAAUCCUGUCAGAUCUCAAAAGCUAAGCAGUGUGGGACCUGGUUUGUAUUUGGAUGGGAGACCUCUUCGGAACACCAGCGGCUGUGGGUGCCUCUCCAGUUAAAACUGGAGUCGCAUCUGUCAAGAAGGACAUAUGAUGUAAAA